UAUAAGGAAAAUAAAAACCCUAAACCUAAUCCAUCCACUUUCCAGUACGAUAUCGUAACUCAUACCCUCAACGCCUUCACCUUCAAUCGUUUGACUCUCAUCUUCUUCUUCCUUUUCAAUUCCAGUUUCAGGUGCACCCAAUUGUUCAUCUCUCACGAUCGCCGCUCUGCCGACACCUCCGUUUGGCCUUCUCUUUCCCUCUCACACCCUCUCCGAACGCCAGUGAGAAAUCAACCAGCGUGAAACACAUUUCUCACAAAGGGGUCGAAGCUUUGUUAAUAGUGGGGAAUUGGAUGAAUGAAGAAAAUACCACUGGUGAUGGUGAUGUUCUUGCCUUUAAGCUCAAUGUGCUUUUCAUGCUUAUACACGUGAAGGGUAUCAUUGAAAAACUACACUUCUUUCAUUUUGUGGUGCAGGAGAUCAUUCGAGUUGAAGGUUGUUCCUUUGUAGAAAGUUAGUGAUGCCGCCUCGUUCCUUUUAUUUAAAUCUGUUUUAGAAAAAUGGAGGAAUUUUACGAUAGUCUUAUUUUCAUUUAAAACUUUUUAUUUAUUAUACAUCAUUAUCAAUAAAAAAACACUAAAUUUUAAUUA